rnacentral:rRNA from 1 species
UACAGAGGUCUCAAGCGUUGUUCGGAUUCAUUGGGCGUAAAGGGUGCGUAGGCGGCGCGGUAAGUCGGGGUGUGAAAUCUCGGAGCUUAACUCCGAAACUGCAUUCGAUACUGCCGUGCUUGAGGACUGGAGAGGAGACUGGAAUUUACGGUGUAGCGGUGAAAUGCGUAGAUAUCGUAAGGAAGACCAGUGGCGAAGGCGGGGUCUCUGGACAGUUCCUGACGCUGAGGCACGAAGGUCAGGGGGAGCAAACGGG